ensembl:lncRNA
UUCAGAGGCUAUCCAGGAGCCCCCAGCCCAUAGCCAUCCAUACCAUACAAAAGACAUGUCCUUCAGAGAUUCCAAGGGUUUUGGGGUGUGUGUAUCAGGAAGCAGAGGCAGAGACGAAAUUCUGUUUCUUCCUGUGUCAUAAGCCCCAUUAAGGUCCACCAGCAAAUGAGUUAAUUUCAGGGAUUCUGCUCAGGUGGAAAAAAUAACAAGGAGAGGCAACAGGAGGCCGCUCUUCCUUUCUGUUCUUUCUUCACUUCUCAUAAACCACACACCUGGGCAUGGGCCCUGAUUCAACCCAUUAGUUGUUUCUUCCAUUAAAACACUGGACCUGAUGAUCUUUAAAGGCCUGAUCAAUUCUGAAUUCCAGCAAGAGGCAGAAAGAAGGCAGUGAUGCGGGAAGGUAUUGGGCUGCACCCCGCAGGCCUGCAAACCCAGUGCUUGUCCAACUUCAAGACUGAAAAAAAGGCCCAGAGUCAGCAACAGAGACAUCAGUGAUUUAAUGGAUGGGGGAGCUUGCAUGUAUGAAGCAAGGUCCUGGAGCAACACCCCACCGUGUUUGUGGCAGACAGCAGACAGGACUUGGCGGUCUUCCCCAAUGACUCAGCAGUAAAGAAUCCACCUGCAAUGCUGGAGACACAGGUUCAGUCCUUGGGUUGAGAAGAUCCCCUGGAGGAGGAAUUUGCAACCCACUCCAAUGUUCUUGCCUGGGAAAUCCCAUGGACAGGGGAGCCUAGCAGGCUACACAGUCCAUGGGGUUGCAAAAGAGUAGGAACCAACUUGGUGACUAAACAACAACAAUCUUUUGACUAUCUGGUUUUUGUUGCAAAACUCCUGUAUAUCCUGGCUCCUCCCUUAUAUCUUGGGAGCUGUCCCUUGGAGCUCUCUGAGAAACUGUCGUCCAGGCUUAAGUCUCCAGAAGUUUCACCAAAUAAAACAUAAUUCUCAAACUUUUAUGUUGUGCAUUUUUCAGUCAACACAUAUUUACUUUGACAUCCCAGUGACUCAGAUUGCAAAAACAACCUAACUCCCAUGCUUAGCUCAGUAACAAUGAUAACUAUUUUGGGUGCUUGCUAAGUGCCUGAUCCUGCUGUAAGCACUUUCCAGGCUUCAGCCCUCAUAGCAAACCCAGGGUAGGUUCUAUUAUUAGCUCCAUUUUGCAUAAGAACAAAUUGCCCAAGGUCAA